rnacentral:tRNA from 1 species
UUGGGGAUAUAACUCAGUUGGUAGAGUGCUUGCCUUGCAUGCAUAAGGCCCUGGGUUCAAUCUCCAACACCAAA